CAGUUGGUAUUAACGGAUAUGUCCUGUUUGCAGCUGGAAGUGGGCAGCUCGCUGAGUGCGUUUCUCCACCCUGCAUCGAGGGGUUUGUUGACCUUGUGACCUGCCCAUGGCAUGUUGAAGACUGACCGAGGUGCAAAUGGAAGCAUAGGCUGGGUUUGGUGUUUUGUUUGGAGGCCUUGUGAGGGUACAAGGACUGUGUGGCUUUGCAUCACAGACACAUAUCAUUUUUCAGAAGUGCUGCUGCAUUGCGAAUAGGAGGGUCUCCUUAUGAGCCAAAGAAAAUAAGAUUCAGCAAAUAAGCCUCUCCGGAACAAGAAAGGCAUCCUGAAUGGUUGUCUAUAUGUUGAACUGCUGCAGUGUCAUCUGCCACUCUGAUACUGGUCAGUAGCAAUCAAGGUACAUCUUGCCUCACAAAAGAGGAAAAAUGUCCAUUGUCACUGCCUUUAUCCUGGUGCCUUAAUGACAUAUGAGCUGACUAAAUUUUCACCCAAAAUGAUGUGAAUUUCUUGUGAUGUUUUCUUGAGAUGGCUCUUAGCAUGUGCCAUUGAUCUCUGUGUCUUUAUACCCUGC
rnacentral:lncRNA from 1 species